GCUCAGUAAGUCGUAACAAGGUAACCGUAGAGUUUGAUCCUGGCUCAGGAUGAACGCUGGCGGUAUGCUUAACACAUGCAAGUCGAACGGUCUCUUCGGAGAUAGUGGCGGACGGGUGAGUAACGCGUGAGAAUCUAGCUUCAGGUCGGGGACAACCACUGGAAACGGUGGCUAAUACCGGAUGUGCCGAAAGGUGAAAGAUUUAUUGCCUGAAGAUGAGCUCGCGUCUGAUUAGCUAGUAGGUGUGGUAAGAGCGCACCUAGGCGACGAUCAGUAGCUGGUCUGAGAGGAUGAUCAGCCACACUGGGACUGAGACACGGCCCAGACUCCUACGGGAGGCAGCAGUGGGGAAUUUUCCGCAAUGGGCGAAAGCCUGACGGAGCAAUACCGCGUGAGGGAGGAAGGCUCUUGGGUUGUAAACCUCUUUUCUCAGGGAAGAAAAAAAUGACGGUACCUGAGGAAUAAGCAUCGGCUAACUCCGUGCCAGCAGCCGCGGUAAUACGGAGGAUGCAAGCGUUAUCCGGAAUGAUUGGGCGUAAAGCGUCCGCAGGUGGCUAUGUAAGUCUGCUGUUAAAGAGUGAGGCUCAACCUCAUAAGAGCAGUGGAAACUACAUAGCUAGAGUGCGUUCGGGGCAGAGGGAAUUCCUGGUGUAGCGGUGAAAUGCGUAGAGAUCAGGAAGAACACCGGUGGCGAAAGCGCUCUGCUAGGCCGCAACUGACACUGAGGGACGAAAGCUAGGGGAGCGAAUGGGAUUAGAUACCCCAGUAGUCCUAGCCGUAAACGAUGGAUACUAGGCGUGGCUUGUAUCGACCCGAGCCGUGCCGGAGCUAACGCG
rnacentral:rRNA from 1 species